GCCGGGAGCAGUGGCUCGCUCCUAUAAUCCAAGCUACUGGGAGGCUGAGGCUGGCGGAUGGUUUGAGCUCAGGGUUUCUGAGCUGCAGCGGACUGUGUCGAGCGGGUGUCCGCACUAAGUUCGGUAUCGAUAUGGUUCUCCCGGGGGAGCUCGGGAGAUCCAGGUCGUCUAAGGAGGGGUGUACCGGCCCAGGUCGGCAACGAAGCAGGUCAAAGCCCCCGUGCCGCUCAGUAGUGGGAUCGCGCCCGUGAAUAGACGAUGUAGUUCUGCCUGAGUAAUACAAUCAGACCCAGUCUUU
ensembl:misc_RNA Metazoa_SRP Metazoan signal recognition particle RNA